CUCACGACAACUAUAGAAAUAAAAAAAAAUACAAGAAAGCAAAAAACAUAUAACAAAGGAACAAAUAGAACAAAAAAAUGCAUAAAAAUAACAUCAAAGAAACAAACUUUAUAUAUUUUGGGUUCGAUCUCUUAAAAGAAGAAAAAGAAGAACAAAAAUUGCACGACUACAUAAAUUGAAAAACAUAUACACAAUAUCCUAAUAACCUUAACCAUCCCUUGAAACAUGGCUUUACAUAUUUCAGAUUCGAACUCUUCGAAGAUCGAACCAAAAAAUAAAAAAUUAAAACUAAGCAUGGAUUGAACAAUAUAACUCAAAAAAGCAAAUCCAAUAUAUGCAAAACAAAAAGAAAUCAAUGCAGUAACAACUGUACUCACAAGUAUACGUCUCAGUUAGCUUCUUCUCCAGCCGUCGGUUGAAUUUCGUCUUUUUCUAUUGAGAGAGCAAUUAGGGAUUAGUAUAGAAAACUUUCGGUCCAGACAGUCAAAGGAGAUAUUUUGUAUCCGUAUGGAAAGACAAUUAGGCUCAGAGGUUCAAAAUUAGCAAAAUGGGAUUGAAGGGUAAAAUGAGAAAAGUAAGAAAGCUUCAUAAAUGAACAGUGUUUUAUGGAUUCUCUGAAUGGUGAAUGCAUGUACGUUACACGUGUAGUUGGUAAUGUAGUGUAAGUAAUAGUAUUGAAUUUUGGUUUUGUGAGAUUUUAGUGGAAAACCUGCUUUGCAUGAAGAUUAUAUUGGAUUAUAUAAAUUGUGUCCACAAGUAUUUUCAUUGAUGAUGGUAAUAUUAAGCAAAAAACAGAGUUGUUUCAAUCUACAAAGGUUUAACAUAUUUAUAUUACAAUAAACAAAAGUUAUUACGACAAACGGAGGUAUGGUGGAUUGUAGACAUAAGCAUUCAAAAGAAAAUCAAAAUACAUAUUUGAAAUUCUCAAAUAACUACUCCUGCUUUCGUUUUUUGUUUGCUAGGUUACAACGUCAUAUUUAAAAGUUCUUUGAAUUGGUGAGCUAUUUGUUGAUGUAACGUUUGCAUUCUAAGUUAAAGAGAUGUUUGUGAAGUAUUUGGUUGUAUUCAAAUUAGCUUCAAAUUCACAUAUAUAAUCAUCGAAAAAUAUCUUGUACCGUUCUUUAAAUGCUAACUUUAAUUGUUGAAAGCCAACAUUUAUCUAGAAAGAGAGAAAUAGAUCUCGAAUGAACACAAAGUUUCACCUCAAAAUUCAGAAUUAAGAACAAUAGCAUCCGAAGGGUCUUUAGAAAUAAUAAUAAAUUUUACACAUGCCUUCAUUCAGAGGAAAAACAGAUUUGUGCAUAUAUAUUUUGGUCAAAUAAAAUGGAUAAUGAGAUCCACCAUCCAUAGCUAUAAAGUCAUACAUACUUGAAGUUGAUUUAUUUCUAUACACAAAAUUUAUUUGCAAGGGUGUAAAGAAAAUUCCCAAUUUCUUCAUCUAUUAAUAACACUUACCAAGUAAACAAGCUCUUCUAAGAUUAAAACUUAAUUUACAAAAAAUAAAAGGAAAAAAUGCAUUCCAUGUCCUUUGCUCCGUGAGAGAAAGUAAAGAAAAAUCAUGGACCAUUAACAAUAAUAUAUUAAAGUAGCACUCUUGACACAUAAUCAAGACACAGAAAUAUAAAGGACAUCAGAUUGUCAUAAGCAUCAUUUGUGCUAGGCAUAUUUUGAGUUCUCCCAAACAUUAAAUUGUCUUUUGCAUAUCAAUCGACACUUGUCUAAUGGUAGUAGUACUAUAUUUCAAAGUACAAACAGUACUUUUGAUUCAAAAUGACAAUAUAGUUCAAGUUCCCCUUUAAGGAUAGCAAUUGCAAUUGCAAUAAAGUCAUACUUUCGCUAAAACUAAAACUAAAACUAACAUUUAUUCACGAAAAUAUAACUUAUAAUAUAAUGCAAAAGAAGAUGGAAAAGAAAGCUCUUAUUUCUACAAAGUUCUCCCCUAAUUCAGGAAAGAUGCCAGUGCUCCUACAUUGCUCACCAAUAAGAUUGGUUAGGUCUUCGGAAGGAAGAAAUCUCAUAAGUUAACUAUUAAUCCACCUUUGAUGUUAUGAAAAUAUGUUCAAUGCGGGAACACAAUUGGUCAAGGCCAAAGCAAAAGUUUUAGAAGUCAUUGCCAUACUUUUUAAGUAAAAAUUUUGGCCGAUUGAUCGUCUGCAAUAGGAAAAUUGUACUGAUUAUAACUUUAAACUAUUAAAUUAAGUCCAUAAUCAUGGUCCAAAAAUUAAUUUCAUAACAGUGAUCUUCCCACAAGGAUUGUAUUAUCUAUUACAUUACCUCGAAAUCUUAAAAUACCAAUGUUAAAUAAUUGAAUUCAUCCAUAUGCAACAUUCUUGGGUAAUUACUACUAUCUAUUUAUUAAUCAACAAUGAAUUAUUUCGAUAAAAGCAGGAAUAACAAAAAAAAAUAGCAUAAUAUAUGAUUGAAUUAUCAACUCAUUAAAAAUGUCGUCAUACUCAUAAAGAACGUCUUAGACUACCAUAAACCUUAGGUUCACUAAUGAAAGCCAAUGUACUCGCGAACCAUAUGUUUGCUAAUUAAAGCUUUUAUCAAUACUGGGCAAACGUAUAUAGUACAACACAUGUGUCACAUAAUGCAAUUGAAAAAGGCAAAUAUUGAGGUCAAUAAAUCUCAACUACAUUUAGGAGAGUCCUUAUUUGGGGUACACUUCUCCAUAAAUCAACACAUGGAAUGUUUAUCUCAAAAAAUCCUAUCCAAAAUAAAUAAGUCAUUUGACUUAUUAAUAAAAUUUGAAACUUACUUGAAUAGACCAUAAAGAAAUACUUAGAAGACUACCAUCCAUGUUAACUUAAGCAUCUUCUUCUAGAAAUAUCAAGAAAAUUUCAAGAUUCAGAUUCAGAAUAAAUUAUUGUGUGUGCAUUUUAGCUUUAAUAUUUUCAAAUUUUUUUGUGAGAUUCAUAAAUCCUAGAUGUGAAGGGGGGAAAAACUCCAAGACAAUUACUAUUGAAUUAAAUAUUCUUUCUUUUAAAUUUAAAAACUGAAAUAUAUAUGCAUUAGAACCUUUUAACCAAGAGGGCAACCGAAACCAAAAAAUCAGGCCAAACAUGAAUCCAUAGCCCACCAAAAAAGACAACUUCAUUCCAUCGUUUGCAGUCAUUUUAUAAACAAUAUUGAUUCCAGCAAAUAUUGUUUGCACCAUCACCAUCAGUAAUGUUGGCUUCACCCUUCUAACGAGUCACAAAUCUUCAUAUUUUCAAUCAAACUCCCACCGACAAAACUAAAUAAACCUACCAACAAGAAACUUAAAAACUUUAAGAGAUAUAGGACUUUCAAUUAAACACCCAAUCAACAAAAAUAAAUAGUAAAUCUACCAAGAAGAAACUUAAAAACCUUGAGAGAUGUAGGAAUUUCAAUCAAAACUCUCAAACCACAAAAGUAAAUUUUAAAUCUACCAAGAAAAACUUUAAAACCCAAGACAGAAUGAAAAUUUUCAAUCAAACUCCCAACCCACCAUAGCAAAUAAUUCUACCAAGAACAGCGAGAACAAAAUGAAAGUUCAAUUUUUUCGAGUUCUUGCCUAAAAAGAGGAGAAGAACCGAACAGGAAAUAGAAGGAAAAAUAUAUCUCAUGUUUGGCCAUGUCCUUCUCUGUAACACCUACCGCAACAAAUAGAGAAUAGAGAAGAAGAAAGGAGAAGUGUUGGUCACAAAGCACAAUUAUCAUCACCAUUUAAUAACCUAUAAAUAUGUACGAAGGAAGAAGAAGCCAAAGGAGAAACUCAAGAUAGAACACAGAAAAUCCCAAAUGUUCUAGAUGAUGCUCAGGAAAAGGUCUACUUUAUAGCCACCCAGGCACACGGCUCGACUAACCGGCUGACUCGAACAUAGCUU
rnacentral:lncRNA from 1 species